UACGUAGGGUCCAAGCGUUGUCCGGAUUUAUUGGGCGUAAAGAGCUCGUAGGCGGUUUGUCGCGUCUGCUGUGAAAAACUCGGGGGCUCAACCCCCGAGCUUGCAGUGGGGUACGGGCAGACUAGAGUGCGGUAGGGGGAGACUGGAAUUCCUGGUGUAGCGGUGAAAUGCGUAGAUAUCGGGAGGAACACCAGUGGCGAAGGCGGCUUCCUGGCCUGUUCUUGACGCUGAGGCGCGAAAGCGUGGGGGAGCAAACAGG
rnacentral:rRNA from 1 species